UAAAGUUAUUACUAUAUAGACGUUCUGUAUCCGUUUCCAAUCUAGAAUACAUAAUGUUACUAAAUGAACAAGUUCUAGGGCUGCUCCGCGCCCGGCUUCCCCCGAUUAAGAGGUGAACUUCUUCUAAAUUAUGUAUCGCUGCAGAUUAAUGGAGACGCGGAGGGAAUGUAGAGGAAGAAAGUCAUAUAUAUAUUGGUCGCCAACCACUUAACCUUUCAUGGAGGUCGGGCACAGGAGGACUGUAAUGUCCCCAUUAAGACGGGGACAUUACACCGUGUACAGACGGGGGAGGAUGGGAUAAUGGCAUAUGGAUGAGCUCUGCCCAGCAAACGUCCUAUAUAAAUCAUAACGGAGAUGAGAAGCUGCUUUGGAGAGUGAUUAUACAAUAGAUGACCUUAAAAUGGACAAUCGCCAUCCUAUUAGGACAUCACAGUGGGACCCCUAGAACGGAGAGCCACUGUGUAGAAGCAGCUCUGUAAUGGAGCACACAAUCCCAUCC